rnacentral:misc_RNA from 1 species
AACUUUCAACAAUGGAUCACUUGGCUCUGGCAUCGAUGAAGAACGCAGCGAAAUGCGAUAAGUAGUGUGAAUUGCAGAAUUCAGUGAAUCAUCGAUUCUUUGAACGCACAUUGCGCCCCUUGGUAUUCCAUGGGGCAUGCCUGUUCGAGCGUCAUCUACACCCUCAAGCUCUGCUUGGUGUUGGGCGUCUGUCCCGCCUCUGCGCGUGGACUCGCCCCAAAUUCAUUGGCAGCGGUCUUUGCCUCCUCUCGCGCAGCACAUUGCGCUUCUCGAGGUGCGCGGCCCGCGUCCACGAAGCAACAUUACCGUCUUUGACCUCGGAUCAGGUAGGGAUACCCGCUGAACUUAAGCAUAUCAAUAAGCGGAGGCU